AUUUAUGUAGUUUAAUAAAACCUUACAUUUUCAUUGUAAAAAUAAAGAAUAGUCUUUUAUAAAUAUAAAUU
rnacentral:tRNA from 1 species